AACCCCCGCCUUCGUCGCCACCACCACCGUAGUGCGCAUGCGCCAAUUCCCGAUCGCUCCUGAGAGAGGCGCUGCGAGGAAACACCAUUCUUCUGAGGACGGUGGGCGGGGAAAACGGCGCGCAUGCUUAGCGAGGCGAAGCCGUGUUCGCCCGCGUGGCUUUUGCGCAUGCGCAUUCCUGGAACCUCGUUCCCAAAGCGGCAGUCGAUCCCUGGUCUCCACGGCGGUGCAGCCUCAGCCUCCUCGCUUUUCACGGUCGGCUUGGGCGUCCCUUCGGAAUGCCUUCCUCACUGAUGGCAGCCUUCUGUGCCUCUGCUCUGAGAACAUGAGACUCAUCCUUGAUUCUGGCACACGGGUGUUACUUGGUCACAUGAAAUAAAAGGUUACGGGCAUGGUG
rnacentral:lncRNA from 1 species